AGGAGAACUGCUUCAUCAAUCAACAGGUGACCGUGGGUCAAAUCGAGAACGGCUAGAAAAUGGCGAGCUAUCGGACCCAAUGUAAACAAUCAAAAUUGUUCAAAAUUUAUGGAUAACGUUCCAGCGAUACACAGACGUGUGGAAGUGACUGAAAUAGGUCUCCCUGGUUAUCACCGAAGACACUGUAGAUGCCCCCAUGAGUAGUAAAUACCAGCACCAUGUUUCUCAAAGCCCCAUUUGCAAUUUCAAUGCUAAUAAAAUUUUGCAACAAGUUACGAUUUGAAGAUAACUGCAUUUCAGAAACGGCACUAUUUGUUGGAAUAUACAGGAGCUUCCGUGAUUAUAUAUGUAUGUUAUACGUUGUAUUUUCACUAAAUAAAACUUGAUAAAUA